UCUAAACCAUGGCACUGUAUAAAAGGAACUGAUUUUGUCCUGGAAUUCACAGUGGCUCUGUUAACAGUGCAGCCAUGAAUAAAAUUAAUUUUGUUGUUUUCCUGAUUGCCGGACUUCAAGUCGCUGACAUAGAAAUGUGGCAAAAUGACUAUGACAAAAAGCUAUAUUUUACCUGUUCCGGUAGAGACUCAAUAUCUAUGAUUACCAGCAAACAUGAUAACGGACGUGAAGAUCGUGUCUGGGACUUCAGUUGCAAGCAAAGCUUUGACAGCUUUUCAGAAUGCUUCUGGUCUCCUUAUGUCAAUUGGUUUGAUGAAGAGUUCACAUUCAGCUGUCCAUCAAAUUACAUUAUUUCAGGAAUGGAAAGCGAACAUGAAAACAAAUAUGAAGAUCGAAGGUGGAAAUUCAAGUGCUGCAGAGUAAAUAACUACUGCAAUUACAACUGCUUGUGGACACCCUACGUAAACAACUUUGAUGAGCAAUUCACUUGGCAUGUUCCACACCUCAACUACCUUGCUGGAGCUGGAAGUUACCAUGCGAAUAUACAAGAAGAUCGCCGCUGGAGGUAUAAGUACUGUACAAGAAGUUUUUGUUGAUUCCUUAAGAUCUUUUUGGUAAAAGGCUACGGCUAAAUGUAAAAAUUAGUCAAGUUCAACUUUCUUAUCCAAGUCGGAAAUUAGUUUGGUCAAAGGAGAAAUUAUACACACAUAAAAACAGCACAACAUCAACAAUCUAACGCUUCGAUGCUCCCAUUUACUGAACUGACCUCAUGUAUACCACACCAGGUGAAGACCUGAGGGUAGAAACAUUGUGUACAUAGUGCAAUAAAUGUGAGCAUUGAAGAGCAGUGUGCAGAAAUUACUUUCUUUUUACAUUAAAUUCCCGUAUAAGUACAACACUUACCAAAAGAAUGGGAUGUGAUUAUGUUUUUUUCUACUUUUAUAACCUAAAGUAGAAAUUAUGACAAUUAAGAAAAUAUACCUAAAUUGUACCAUGUAUGGUAAAUUCAAAAGUAGACAAAUAAACACAGCAAUAUGCAUGGAAA